CCCUUAGAUGUCCUGGGCCGCACGCGCGUUACACUGAUGCAUUCAACGAGCUUAUAACCUUGGCCGAGAGGCCUGGGCAAUCUUGUUAACGUGCAUCGUGAUAGGGAUAGAUUAUUGAAAUUAUUAAUCUUGAACGAGGAAUUCCUAGUAAACGCAGAUCAUCAAUCUGCAUUGAUUACGUCCCUGCCCUUUGUACACACCGUCCGUCGCACCUACCGAUUGGAUGGUCCGGUGAAGCCUCGGGAUUGUGGUUCUUGCCGCUUUAUUGUGGCGUGACCGCGAGAACUUGUCUAAACCUUAUCAUCUAGAGGAAGGUGAAGUCGUAACA
rnacentral:rRNA from 1 species